CCUACGGGAGGCAGCAGUAGGGAAUCUUCCACAAUGGGCGCAAGCCUGAUGGAGCAACACCGCGUGAGUGAAGAAGGGUUUCGGCUCGUAAAGCUCUGUUGUUGGAGAAGAACGUGCGUGAGAGUAACUGUUCACGCAGUGACGGUAUCCAACCAGAAAGUCACGGCUAACUACGUGCCAGCAGCCGCGGUAAUACGUAGGUGGCAAGCGUUAUCCGGAUUUAUUGGGCGUAAAGCGAGCGCAGGCGGUUGCUUAGGUCUGAUGUGAAAGCCUUCGGCUUAACCGAAGAAGUGCAUCGGAAACUGGGCAACUUGAGUGUAGAAGAGGAGAGUGGAAGUCCAUGUGUAGCGGUGGAAUGCGUAGAGAUAUGGAAGAACACCAGUGGCGAAGGCGGCUGUCUGGUCUAAAACUGACGCUGAGGCUCGAAAGCAUGGGUAGCGAACAGGAUUAGAUACCCCAGUAGUC
rnacentral:rRNA from 1 species